UGACAAUAAUGUGGGUAUGGCAGCUGAAGCUCUUGUUACAGCUCAUCCUUGUCUUAAAGAGCCUGGAAGUGUGAGUGGAUGGUAUGGAUGGAAAAUGAGCCUGAAAUUUAAGAUGGGGGAUUAUCGUGGAAGUGUCUGUCAAUGCAGCUUUGUUCUGAGUUCCAACGAAUCACAAAUGUCAAACUACGGAACCAGUUCUAUGCUGUGCUUGACCAACAUACACCUGGACUGGUGGCCUUGUAUAGGCAGAAGGCAGCACCAACCGGAAAGAUAUCACAGGCGCUGCGUGACAUCUUAAAGAUUUAUGAACUCCAGGAAGUGCACAAUGUCAAUAUGAAGCGUACUUUAGCCCUUCGUGCCCUCCCGGUAUACCUGCGUGAGGAGGACCCACAGUUCUUCAAGACUUGGAAUGUAAGUAUUCAGUAUAUUCAUAGAAAUAUUAAUAUCUCUAACAGCCACUUAACUAUAUAUAGUUACCCCCUUAGUACCAACCUUGUGUGUAGGUGUCAUUGUGCCGGUAAGUGGACUGUACUUAGUGUGGACAUGGAUAUACAGUAUGUGCAUAUAAGCAUACAUACAUUGAAUUGA
rnacentral:lncRNA from 1 species